GCUGUCUCUCGACAAUGACGUUAUUGUGGUUGUACUCAGAAGCUGUGAUUUCGUUUCAUUCUUGGGGAAAAAACAGAAUUGAAGACUUGUAACAGCCGACUACAUUGUAGUCGACCAAACGAUUUCAAAAGCUUGAAAUCUGAGCGACAGACUUGUUGCAAAAUAUUGUCCCAAGUCUCACCGACCUUACCCAUUCACGUGGAGGAGAGAAAAAGAAAAAUAUCAUUGUAAACACUUUGGAAAGCAGACAAACUCUCGUCCAGCUGGUUGAAGAUGAAGACAACAAGUGUGGCUCUACUCACCCAGACUUCCGGUUAUCAAACACAACAGUAAGAGCAGGUGGCUGAACAUGGCUGGUGAGGCAUGCGGCGCCAGGUGGAGGAGACAGAAGACUGCAGGCCAG